GUCCCGUGCCGUGUGGUCGCGCGAUUGCCGUGCCGAUUGUACUGCCGUCGUGCGUGUUACCGGACUUCAAACGACCGCCACAAACAAGUCUAAGAUGCUACCCGUGAAGCCGGGGAGCCCCGCGCCGGACGGCAGCUCCAUGGACAAGAAGCCGAUCGCCGGCAUCCCGCGCGUGGCGCCCACCACCAAGUUUAACGCGCCUGUGCACAUCGACGUCGGCGGCACCAUCUACACCUCCUCGCUGGAAACCCUCACCGCUUACCCCGAAUCGCGUCUCGGAAAGAUGUUCAACGGAACCAUCCCCAUAGUCCUGGACACGUUGAAGCAGCACUACUUCAUCGACCGCGACGGCGGCAUGUUCCGGCACAUCCUCAACUUUCUGCGCAACAAGAAACUGUUGCUGCCCGAUGACUUCUCCAACUUGGAUUUGCUGCUACACGAAGCAUUGUACUUCGAGCUGGACCAUAUGGUGUUCGUCCUGACGAAGAUGAAGAAUAACAAAGAGGGCGUGAAGCAGGACCGCGUGUGGCUGAGCGAGGCCACCGAGCGACUCAAGCAGGAGUCGGAGCUGCUCACGCAGGAGCGCGAGCGCCUGCAGCAGCGGUGGUCGUGAACUGAGGUAACUGCCGCUGUUUCUUACAUAACAACAAAGAGGGCGUGAAGCAGGACCGCGUGUGGCUGAGCGAGGCCACCGAGCGGCUCAAGCGGGAGUCGGAGCUGCUCACGCAGGAGCGCGAGCGUCUGCAGCAGCGGUGGUCGUGAACUGAGGUAACUGCCGUUGUUUCUUACAUAACAACAAAGAGGGCAUGAAGCAGGACCGCGUGUGGCUGAGCGAGGCCACCGAGCGGCUCAAGCAGGAGUCGGACUUCUCAUGCAGGAUCGUGAACGCCGGCAGCAGCGGUGGUCGUGAACAGAGGUUAGCUGUACAGAUGCUGAAAUAAAACGGCGACGCACUACGUAAACGUUAUUUGUUUGAAAAGUCAUUGUUUUUAUUUCAAUUUUGAGUAGUUUAUGAAUGAGUUAACUAUAGUAUUUAAGCUAUUUUAAUUUAUCGUAGAAUCGGUUAUUAGUAGGUACUAUAAGGUACGAUCCGAGGCCAUCAACCCAAUUACCAAGGGUUUUCCUAUUUCAAAACAGUUACUAGUGUUUAAAGUUUAAGUGUGUUCUAAACAAGUACUAGUUUUUGAAAAGUGAGUACCUAUACUAUAGCUUAU